rnacentral:rRNA from 1 species
UACGAAGGGGGCUAGCGUUGCUCGGAAUCACUGGGCGUAAAGGGCGCGUAGGCGGCGUUUUAAGUCGGGGGUGAAAGCCUGUGGCUCAACCACAGAAUGGCCUUCGAUACUGGGACGCUUGAGUAUGGUAGAGGUUGGUGGAACUGCGAGUGUAGAGGUGAAAUUCGUAGAUAUUCGCAAGAACACCGGUGGCGAAGGCGGCCAACUGGACCAUUACUGACGCUGAGGCGCGAAAGCGUGGGGAGCAAACAGGAUUAGAUACCCCCGUAGUCC